rnacentral:rRNA from 1 species
ACGAACGCUGGCGGCGUGCUUAACCCCUGCCAGUCGAACGGUGAAGCGCCUUCCUUUUUGGUGGGUGUGGAUGAGUGGCGAACGGGUGAGUAACACGUGGGUAACCUGCCCCCUUCUUCUGGAUAACCGCAUGAAAGUGUGGCUAAUACGGGAUAUUCUGGGUCUGUCGCAUGAUGGGUCUGGGAAAGAUAUUGUUUCGGUGGGGGAUGGGCUCGCGGCCUAUCAGCUUGUUGGUGGGGUGAUGGCCUACCAAGGCGGUGACGGGUAGCCGGCCUGAGAGGGUGGACGGUCACACUGGGACUGAGACACGGCCCAGACUCCUACGAGAGGCAGCAGUGGGGAAUAUUGCACAAUGGGCGCAAGCCUGAUGCAGCGACGCCGCGUGAGGGAUGGAGGCCUUCGGGUUGUGAACCUCUUUCGCCAGUGAAGCAGGCCUGCCUCGUUUGUGGGUGGGUUGACGGUAGCUGGAUAAGAAGCGCCGGCUAACUACGUG